UUUUUCCAUAUUUAUGAAAUUUUGCAGGAGACGUGACUUAGUACAAAUGGAGAAUGAAACAACUGGAUCGAUGGAAAUGGAAACUGAUGACUUGGCAUGCAGUAAGAUGUUCACUACAAUCAUUAUUAUUUUUGCACUCUGUAAUACUCAUAUCAAAAAAUUAAAAAAAAAACUACUUAAUGAUGGCUUGGACCAAAUGCUCUCCAAUCAUAUGAAACAAUGGGAAGACAAUAUGAAAGGUUCCAAUGGAGGUUGCAUGAGAGGUAUCGUGGAUGAAAUCAUUGAUGGAGUGGAAUUAUGUACAAUGGAAGACGAUACUAAAAGGUUGAUAUCACACGAGAUUAGAUAGAUUACAGCUUUAUACACAUAAAAAUAUUUCAAGAAUAAUAUGUCAUAGAUUUUGUCGGGUUCAAAUUCAACCCAUCCUCAAUAAUAUGAAUUAUGGAGAAAAUAAUCAUGGAAAUAAAAAUUCCGAAAAUUUGAAGCGAGAAUGCCGUACCCGUCGAAGAAAUAAGGAAAGUCAUAGGGGGAAGAGGAAAAACUCCAGAACGGGUGGGGAAUCACGGAGGAAAAGAAGAAGAACAUCUAGAGAUGAGGCUUAAAAAAUGUAUAAAACUACCCACUUGUUAUGAACAUUGGAUGGAGAAUAGACUGCACAUUGGUGGAGAAUAGGCGUUGGUGAACCCACACCCUACGAAUGGCACAUUUAUGAGGGGACGCAAAUUAUUGUAGACAAAAAAAUCAAGGACAUUGAUUGAUUUCCAGUCAUUAGACAAUGAACUACUUACAAACGAUCACCGACCCAUCAAACGGAAUCCCCAAUGCAUGAGUUCUCAAUCACGUCAAUUAUGGAGAACUCAUACAUAUAAAUUAUCAGCCGCAGGCACAGGCGUUUUAUUUAUUUACAUCGACGAUCAAAUUCUAAUUCAUCUAUGCAUUUAAAAUAAUUGUAAAAAUACUCAAUCAAAUUAUCAGUAAAAACCUAUAGUCAUCACUUUAGAAAAUUACAGACAAACCAGAGGAAAGUAGAUUCAACCAUUUCGUAAGUAGUAAAAAUGAAAAAUCGAAAAGGUAACAAUUUCUAUAUAAUUAUCAUUCCGUUAAUAUAAAAUAAAAUGUUUGCUUUAAUAUUUUUUCUUUUGCAGGUAAGGUGGGGUAAAUAAUCAUAUUUUCCAUCCAUACGAAUAUAAAUUCAUCCAUAUAUAUUAAAUAUUUGUUAAAAUCUCAUAUCUAAUAUAUAUGGAGUUUCCACAUAUGAAUGGAUGGAAAACAUUGAGUGGUUGUACCCCACUGGACAGGCGUUGGAUGGAGCCUGAUCCCCUUCCCCUUCGGGGGAGGUAAAUAAUCUAAAUGAACAGAAACUUUGAGUGGUUCGAGUGACAACAUUCGUUAUCGACGCAAAAUCAACAUUUGACACAAAAAAAUGUUCAUGGGAGGACUCACACCAGAAAGGAGGGGAGCGAGCGAAGCGGGCGGGGAGGCGAAGCUCCCCCGGGGUUCUCGAGCGAACAAUGUUUGAAGGACACGUAUAACUUGAUUAUUGAAGCUGUCCAGAAAAAAUUUGAAACUGCGGGAAACUUGAAGAGAAAUUCCAAUAAAGAGAUAAAUGAAGUCCAGUGUUUCAAUGAAAUGAUCGAUCAAUUGAAGGAGAAAUCAGUGAAUUCUACAGCGACAGAAAAAUAUCUCCUUCUUUCUGUCGAAAAUGCCAUCUCCCAUAAAUUCCUUAAUUUUCAACUCAUGAAAAGCACUUGAAAUUUAUAUUUUGAUU